rnacentral:tRNA from 1 species
CAAGCAGUAGCCAAGAGGCCGAAGGCGAUGGUCUGCAAAACCGUCGAGCGCAUGCUCCGCGCGAGUUCGAAUCUCGCCUGCUUGUCCA